GACGAACGCUGGCGGCGUGCCUAACACAUGCAAGUCGAGCGAUGAAACUUCCUUCGGGAAGUGGAUUAGCGGCGGACGGGUGAGUAACACGUGGGCAACCUGCCUCAUAGAGGGGAAUAGCCUUCCGAAAGGGAGAUUAAUACCGCAUAAGAUUGUAGUACCGCAUGAUACAGCAAUUAAAGGAGCAAUCCGCUAUGAGAUGGGCCCGCGGCGCAUUAGCUAGUUGGUGAGGUAACGGCUCACCAAGGCGACGAUGCGUAGCCGACCUGAGAGGGUGAUCGGCCACAUUGGGACUGAGACACGGCCCAGACUCCUACGGGAGGCAGCAGUGGGGAAUAUUGCACAAUGGGGGAAACCCUGAUGCAGCAACGCCGCGUGAGUGAUGACGGCCUUCGGGUUGUAAAGCUCUGUCUUCAGGGACGAUAAUGACGGUACCUGAGGAGGAAGCCACGGCUAACUACGUGCCAGCAGCCGCAGUAA
rnacentral:rRNA from 1 species